CGUAGGGUGCGAGCGUUAAUCGGAAUUACUGGGCGUAAAGCGUGCGCAGGCGGUUCUGAAAGUCAGCUGUGAAAGCCCCGGGCUUAACCUGGGAAUUGCGGUUGAAACUACAGGGCUAGAAUCUGGCAGAGGGGGGUGGAAUUCCACGUGUAGCAGUGAAAUGCGUAGAUAUCAAGAGGAACACCAGUGGCGAAGGCGAGUCCCUGGACAACACCUGACACUGAGGCACGAAAGCUAGGGGAGCAAACAGGAUUAGAUACCCUGGUAGUCCUAGCCCUAAACGGUGCGUGUUUGCUGUAGGAGGAAUCGACCCCUUCUGUGGCGAAGCUAACGCGUUAAACACGCCGCCUGGGGAGUACGGUCGCAAGAUUA
rnacentral:rRNA from 1 species